rnacentral:misc_RNA from 1 species
AACAUCGCGCACCUGCGGGAACCUGCGGAAGGAUCAUUACAGAGUUGCAAAACUCCCUAAACCAUUGUGAACGUUACCUAAACCGUUGCUUCGGCGGGCGGCCCGGGUCCUUCCCGGCGCCCAUCGGCCCUCGCGGGCGCCCGCCGGAGGUAAACCAAACUAUUGCAUUGUAUGGCCUCUCUGAGUCUUCUGUACUGAAUAAGUCGAAACUUUUAACAACGGAUCUCAGAUCGGAAGAGC